rnacentral:rRNA from 1 species
CCUACGGGAGGCAGCAGUGAGGAAUAUUGGUCAAUGGCGGGAACUCUGACCCAGCAACGCCGCGUGAAUGAUGAAGGUCUUCGGAUUGUAAAGUUCUGUGAUGGGGGAUGAACACAAUGACGGUACCCCAAUAGGAAGCCACGGCUAACUACGUGCCAGCAGCCGCGGUAAUACGUAGGUGGCAAGCGUUAUCCGGAAUGACUGGGCGUAAAGGGUGCGUAGAUGGUUUAGUAAGUUGGCGGUGAAAUUCCGGGGCCCAACCUCGGCGCUACCUCUAAAACUAUGUGGCUGGAGUGCAGGUGGGGUAAGUGGAAUGCCUAGUGUAGCGGUGAAAUGCGUAGAUAUUAGGAGGAACACCAGUGGCGAAGGCGACUUACUGGACUGUAACUGACGCUGAGGCACGAAAGCGUGGGGAGCAAACAGGAUUAGAUACCCCAGUAGUC